UACGAAGGGGGCUAGCGUUGCUCGGAAUCACUGGGCGUAAAGCGCACGUAGGCGGCUUCUUAAGUCAGGGGUGAAAUCCUGGAGCUCAACUCCAGAACUGCCUUUGAUACUGAGAAGCUUGAGUCCGGGAGAGGUGAGUGGAACUGCGAGUAUAGAGGUGAAAUUCGUAGAUAUUCGCAAGAACACCAGUGGCGAAGGCGGCUCACUGGCCCGGUACUGACGCUGAGGUGCGAAAGCGUGGGGAGCAAACAGG
rnacentral:rRNA from 1 species